GACGAACCGUCCUAACGUUGUUCGGAAUCACUGGGCUUAAAGGGCGCGUAGGCGGCCUUGAAAGUCGGGGGUGAAAUCCCACGGCCCAACCGUGGAAGUGCCUCCGAUACUGCAAGGCUCGAGGGAGGUAGGGGCAGCGGGAACUUCCGGUGGAGCGGUGAAAUGCGUUGAUAUCGGAAGGAACGCCGGUGGCGAAAGCGCGCUGCUGGACCUCUGCUGACGCUGAGGCGCGAAAGCCAGGGGAGCAAACGGG
rnacentral:rRNA from 1 species